GAGGACAUCAUCAUAAACCUCUUUUCGAUCCCUCUCGGGGACCACAGCCCAGACCUCCAGUUCCCCAAAGUGCCUGCACAACUUUGGAUCUUAUUACACUUCUGGGUGAGAAUCUGAAGUAACUCAUGUGAGAAAGAGGUACAGAAAAAGGGGCUGAAAGAGAAGCAGAUCCUAUGUCUUCCUUGGAACAAAAACACAUUUGUGGGCCGGGGAGAGAUGCAAGGCAACUGAUCAUCUGAUCAUAAUGUGUUCACUUGGACCAGUGGAACCCCCCCCCCCAUGCAAUCAAUUCUUCUCAUUCUCCACAUCUAAGGGACAUCUCAGAAUUGAAGAUUCAAGAACAAAAGG